AUGGAGACGUCAGUUCCCAACCCCAGUUUACCUCUCCAUUCUAAGGAUCUCCUGAGUGAUUCCUCAGACCCCCCUGUGCUGAACCAAGAGCCUUCUGAGGUGACCUCUAUGCUUCUUUGCACCUCAGCUGGCAGGCAGAACCACAGCCCACGCCCAGUUGUAUUUACCCUCCACCUCCCCACCUCCUCAUGAGGUAUUAGAGGGCUUGGCCCAAGAGCUGAGUCGAAGCUUGUCAGUUAGAUUGGAGAACAACUUGAAGAAAAAGGAUGGUUCCAAGCAUACCUUUGAGAUGAAAAGUGUCCAGGGUCAACUCCAGAGCAUGCUCCAGACCUCAUGUGAUACAGCCUAUCACGACUCCCUUCCUGCAGAUGCUAGCUCUGAGAGACAAGAAGAGGAAUCCUUUGACAGUGACAACACAGCCACCUUGCUCAACACCUGGCCUCUUCAAGAAUUAUCUCCAUCUAGCUCAGCCCAAGCCCUGGAAGAGUUGUUUCCCGGCUAUACCAGGCUUUGGCCGGGGCCCCCACUCAAUCCUCCAGAUUUUCAAGGCCUGAGAGAUGCCUUGGAUUCAGAGCAUACUCGUCGCAAGCACUAUGAGAGCCAUAUUCAGAGCCUGCAGACUUGCGUGCUAGAGCUACAGCAGCAAUUAGCUGUGGCUAUGGCUGCUGACCGCAAGAAAGGCAUCAUGAUUGAACAACUGGACAAGACCCAGGCCAGUGUGGUGGAGGGUUGAAAUCGGCAUGAAGCUGAGCGGACAGAAGUGCUCUGGGGACUUCAGGAGGAACACCAGGCAGCUGAACUCACCAGAAGCAAGCAGCAGGACACAGUAACCCACCUGGAACAAAGCCUUUCUGAGGCCAUGGAGGCCCUAAAUCAUGAGCAGGAAGGUGCCAGACUGCAGCAAUGAGAGAGACUCUGGAAGAGGAAAGGCAAGUCCUGACUUUGAGCUUGGAGGAAGAAGGACAGCGGUGCCGGGCUCUGCAGGAAGAACGGGAUGAGGCUUGGUCUGGGCAAUUCAGUGAACAUCGAUAGUUGGAGAUGCUUCAGGCUGCCUUAGAAGAAGAGCGCUGCAGGUGGGCCCAGCAAGAGCACCACCUUGAGGAACGCUACCAGGCGCUGCAAGAGGAAGACAAGGCUCAGUUGGAAAGGGAGAAGGGGAACACCCAGAGGGAAGCCCAAGUGGCUCGGAGGCUCAGCAGCAACUAGCAUUGGUGCAGUCUGAGAUGCGGCGCUUGGAAGGAGAGCUGGACACAGCUCGGAGAGAGCGGAUUCCCUGCAGCUGGAAAUGAGCUUGGUGCAGGCCCGGUAUGAAAGCCAGAGGAUCCAGAUGGAGUCUGAGCUGGCUGUGCAGCUGGAGCAGCAGGUGACAGAGCGGCUGGCACAGAUGCAAGAGAGCAGCCUCCAGCAAGCAGCCUCUCUGAGGGAACAUCCCAGGAAGCAGCUGCAGGAGUUAAGUGGACAGUACCAGCAGGAAUUAGCCUCUCAGUUGACUCAGUUCAAGGUGGAAAUGGCAGAACGAGAAGAACGGCAGCAGCAAGUGGCCCAGGACUACGAGCUCAGACUAGCCCGGGAGCAAGCACUAGUGCGGGACCUGCAGAGUGGGAACCAACAGCUGGAGGAACAGCAGGUAGAGCUGAUAGAAUGACUCCAAGCCAUACUACAAGCCCACUGGGAUGAGGCCAACCAACUGCUUAGCGCCACUCUCCCACCUCCAAACCCUCCGGUCCCUACUACUGGCCCCUCCAGCCCUGGGCUUCAGGAACCAGAGAAAGGGGGGAGGAUGAUCUGGACUAUGCCUCCUGUGGCUGUAGCCCUGAAGCCUGUAUUGCAGCAGAGCCGGGAAACAAGGGAUGAGCCACCUAGAAUGCUUCCUGGUCCCUGCAGCCCUUCCCCAGAUCUUAGCAUCCUACUAGGCUCCAGUUUCCAAAGUCAGCAUUCCUUCCAGCCCCUAGAACCAAAGCCAGAUCUUACGCCAUCCACAGUUGGGGCCUUCAAUCCUGAUCACAAGGCAGAAUAUCCAUUCCCUGAUCCUGGACCCGACUGGGAUGGCUUCCUAAAGCAGGGACUGCCACCUUCUGCUCUCCAGCAACUGAAGGUGGCAGUACCCCAGAACAGUGACAAUUCCUCUGUUGACCUAUUGCCCCCUGAGUCUAGUCCUUUGAUUGUCCCAUCUUGGGAGGAAGCCUCUCAGGUGCCAUGCCUCCCACCCCUGUCUAUAAAACUAAAGUUCCCAUAGUCAUGGCAUCUAGUCUUUUCUGGGUACCUGAGCUUCCUUCAACCCAUUCACGGGGCAGUGGUCCCAGUGGUGGUUCCCCAGAGAGGGGGCUGAUGGCCCGAAGGAGCGCCGACUCCCCCUUGGGUGAGAUCCUCCACAAAGAGUUUCCGUCCCAGGCUAUCCCUCGCCACCUUCCUACAGUCACUAAGACUGAAAAACCUCCAGGACAAAAGAAAAGUGGGCAUCCUGCCCCUAGUAGCAUGAGGAGUCGGGGAGGAGUCUGGAGAUAG